rnacentral:lncRNA from 1 species
UCUAACAUAGAAAAUACUAUCGUACAUGUCUAGCUAGUGGACAAACAUUACAACUUUAUAUAAUGGAUUUAGAACCCUCUAACUUAUACCAAAGUAAUGGAUGCAUGUGCCAAUCUUUUAUCCCGAAGUAGUAGAUCCUCCUUGGUUGCUUGCACACUGAGUCCUAGUGCUGCUAGUUGCUCAUUAUGUCCAGUUCUAGUAGAAGGUUUAGGAACUAGCAGGUAAAGGCCAUCCUUUUCUCUG